AUACGGGGGUGCAAGCGUUACUCGGAAUCACUGGGCGUAAAGCGCGCGCAGGCGGCUUGAUAAGUUGGAUGUGAAAGCCUACGGCUCAACCGUAGAACUGCAUCCAAAACUGUCAAGCUAGAGUCUGGGAGGGGAAGAUGGAAUUAGUUGUGUAGGGGUAAAAUCCGUAGAGAUAACUAGGAAUACCAAAAGCGAAGGCGAUCUUCUGGAACAGUACUGACGCUGAGGCGCGAAAGCGUGGGGAGCAAACAGGAUUAGAAACCCGGGUAGUCC
rnacentral:rRNA from 1 species